AUGCAUGGUGUAAUCAAGCCCCGCUAUAUAUCUAUCUACAGUUUCAUGGGCUCACGUAGGUACGUGUAUCACAUACAUUUGCACAAUGCAUGUCAUGUAGGAGUAAUGGAGAAGCCGGUGUUGGUGCAGUUUCCAGCAAGGUCGGAGGAGGACGUGGACAAUAAUGAGGAUCUCUUACCGUGCCUGCCGGCAGCGAGCGGCGCGACGGGCUGGUGGCCUGCGAAGAGGGAGACAUGGCCGGCGAGCUUGUCUUUGCGGGAGAAAGUGGUGCCGCAGGAGCAUAUCCAGCGGUGGUCGCCGCAGUGCUUCUCGUGGGUGCGGAGGUCGGAGAGGACGGAGAAGUGCUUGCCGUUGCAGCGGUUGCAGACGUACAUCUUGGGGCAGUGGCUGCGCUUGUAG
rnacentral:rRNA from 1 species